UGGGGGAAUCUUCCGCAAUGGACGAAAGUCUGACGGAGCAACGCCGCGUGAGUGAUGAAGGCCUUCGGUUGUAAACUCUGUUGUCAGGGACGAAAGCACCGAUCUAUAAUACAUUUUGGUGUUGACGGUACCUGACGAGGAAGCCACGGCUAACUACGUGCCAGCAGCCGCGGUAAUACGUAGGUGGCAAGCGUUGUCCGGAAUUAUUGGGCGUAAAGAGCAUGUAGGCGGGCUUUUAAGUCCGACGUGAAAAUGCGGGGCUUAACCCCGUAUGGCGUUGGAUACUGGAAGUCUUGAGUGCAGGAGAGGAAAG
rnacentral:rRNA from 1 species